rnacentral:rRNA from 1 species
AAAUUGAAGAGUUUGAUCAUGGCUCAGAUUGAACGCUGGCGGCAGGCCUAACACAUGCAAGUCGAGCGGUAGCACAGAGAGCUUGCUCUCGGGUGACGAGCGGCGGACGGGUGAGUAAUGUCUGGGAAACUGCCUGAUGGAGGGGGAUAACUACUGGAAACGGUAGCUAAUACCGCAUAAUGUCGCAAGACCAAAGUGGGGGACCUUCGGGCCUCAUGCCAUCAGAUGUGCCCAGAUGGGAUUAGCUAGUAGGUGGGGUAAUGGCUCACCUAGGCGACGAUCCCUAGCUGGUCUGAGAGGAUGACCAGCCACACUGGAACUGAGACACGGUCCAGACUCCUACGGGAGGCAGCAGUGGGGAAUAUUGCACAAUGGGCGCAAGCCUGAUGCAGCCAUGCCGCGUGUGUGAAGAAGGCCUUCGGGUUGUAAAGCACUUUCAGCGGGGAGGAAGGCGGUGAGGUUAAUAACCUCANCGAUUGACGUUACCCGCAGAAGAAGCACCGGCUAACUCCGUGCCAGCAGCCGCGGUAAUACGGAGGGUGCAAGCGUUAAUCGGAAUUACUGGGCGUAAAGCGCACGCAGGCGGUCUGUCAAGUCGGAUGUGAAAUCCCCGGGCUNAACCUGGGAACUGCAUUCGAAACUGGCAGGCUAGAGUCUUGUAGAGGGGGGUAGAAUUCCAGGUGUAGCGGUGAAAUG